rnacentral:tRNA from 1 species
GCAUUGGUGGUUCAGUGGUUGGAUUCUCGCCCUCCAUGUGGGAGACCCUGGUUCAAUUCCCAGCCAAUGCA